rnacentral:rRNA from 1 species
GAUGAACGCUAGCGGCAGGCCUAACACAUGCAAGUCGAGGGGUAACAUUGGUGCUUGCACCAGAUGACGACCGGCGCACGGGUGCGUAACGCGUAUACAAUCUACCUUGCACUGGGGGAUAGCCUUUAGAAAUGAAGAUUAAUACCCCAUAGUUUGUUUAAGUGGCAUCACUUGAGCAAUAAAGGUUACGGUGCAAGAUGAGUAUGCGUUCUAUUAGCUAGAUGGUGUGGUAACGGCACACCAUGGCCACGAUAGAUAGGGGCCCUGAGAGGGGGAUCCCCCACACUGGUACUGAGACACGGACCAG